rnacentral:lncRNA from 11 species
GCAGGAGGGGCCAGAUCAGGUCUAAUUGUUGGAAUGUGUGCUUAGUUCAAGUUAAACAAUGGCUCCUGGGAAGGGAGGGGGAUCAGCCAGAGAGGUGCUGAGCAGUGAAAAGAGUGUUGUUUGGGGCCUAGUUUCCUGAAUAGACUUGUUAACGACCAUGGCUGAUGUAUGCUAAGCAGGCUCGGCUGGGGAGAGAAAGGCCAACGGAGUCGGCACAUCAUUCCCUGUGCCAAGGCGUCCACUUUGAUGGCUCCUUUGGAGUUGCCAUGGCCAGGGCCAGAGUUCAUGAAAACACAGAAGAAGAGCCAACAAAACAAGAAUAAAGACUUAUUUGAGAUACUCUUUUUAAAGGACAUCUACCAUGCACAAAACAUGAGAAGUAAAUGUAGACAAGUUUGGACACUAUGGCGCACUGUGAGGAAAAAGGGGAGGAAAAUGAAUUUGAAAAUCAAAUAGGCCUAUAAAAACUUGACCCAAGAGUUUCUGGGAAAAACCCAGUGAAUUGCUCCCUGGUUGAACAAUGUUCUUUCUUUCGUGCGUUCUUCAAGAGGACAAUGCUCAAUAUAUUAUAACACAUGCCACCAAUGUCUUUACACUGUUGUAAGCCAGCUCAAGCCAACAGAAUGCUGAUUGAGGACAACAAGAGAUUGGGAGGGAGUAAUUCUCUCUUUCUCUGGCUGCGUUACAAACAAGCACUGGGAAAAUUAUUCAUGCAUAUACAGCCAACAAAACAGAAAUGGGAGAUUUGUGAUCUCGUGCAGGGCAAUCAUGUGACUCGGAUUUUUUUCUUAAAGGAAAAGAAAAAAAACAAUGCCAUUCACUGGUAGAGUCAUUGCAACAUUGCCAGUUUAGCUUUGUGUGUGUGCAUAUGUGUGUGUACCAGUAAAGCCACAUUUUUUUAUGAUACCCAUAAAAAUUGAAGUUUCCUUUGGCCCUGAAUGCUGUACAGGGAAAAUCAAUCUGCAUAGCCACAGCAAAGAAACUUGGCAUGUUAUGUCUUUGUUAUAGCUUUUCAGUAGUUGUAAUAUUUUAUUGGACUCAUCUGCCUCGUUUCUGACGCUCGAGUGUUUCAAUUUUUUUUUCUUUUGAGGGAUUUGGGAGAAAAUAUGGGAGGGGAAUAUUCUUUGGUAAUGUCAAAUUAUAUCACCCUUCAAAGGAGAAGAACGCUAUAACCUUACAAAAUUGGAAACCCAAAACCAAUUUGAGUAUGGAUUCAAGAACUCCUAAUACCAGCAGACCAUGAAAAGAUGUUCUGUUAUAUAAUAAAAAGAGGAAAUAUUUCAGACAAUUUGGCAUCCCCUUUUUAAGCUAUAUCUGAGGCAUAAGAUCUGUGCCAGUAACAAGUGAAUCCUACCACAUCAAAGUGAACAACCACCACCUCUCUCUUCUUUCUCUUUCUCACCUCCUCCCACAAUGUCUUAUCUUUCCCAUUUUCUGUGUUAUUCUAUCUGUUCUCCCGUUCUAUAAAAAUUCCCUCAUAGUGCUGGAAGGAGUGAUAGUGAAGUGGAUGGAAUAAAAUGAGGAGUACAUUAAAAACCUGAAAAAUAACAAAAAGUGACAAAAACAAUGAAUAACAAAAAGAUUAAUAACAAACUGAAUGGGGGUUAAUAAAAUGAAUUGAAUCAUCUGAAAAAAAUUACUUUUCUAUAAAUCCGUUUUGGAGUGUCCCUAUAAAAUAACUUUUCUAUAAAUCUGUUUUGGAGUGUCCCUAUAAACUGGCUCUACUAUUUACACAUAGCUAAAGCUUUGCCUGGUGUAUAGAGUGAACAAUCAAUCUUUGCUUUUCUCAAUAAUAUUCACAAUGGUGAAAACCUAGAAUAA